rnacentral:tRNA from 1 species
UCCCUGGUGGCUCAGAGGUUAAAUUGUCUGCCUGCAAUGCAGGAGACCCAGGUUCAAUCCCUGGGUCGGGAA